ACGCUCGACACCUACCGGAGGCAGCAGUGGGGAAUAUUGCACAAUGGGGGAAACCCUGAUGCAGCGACGCCGCGUGAGCGAAGAAGUAUUUCGGUAUGUAAAGCUCUAUCAGCAGGGAAGAAACUGACGGUACCUGACUAAGAAGCACCGGCUAAAUACGUGCCAGCAGCCGCGGUAAUCUGAGCGGGCUGGCAAGGC
rnacentral:rRNA from 1 species